rnacentral:sRNA from 1 species
GCUCCUUCGAGCUUGCUGUUUGUCCGGGUUUUUUACGUUUUAAUUUCCAGGACUUGAACUGCCAUGUCCUCUGAAGAAGGAAAGCUCUUCGUGGGAGGGCUCAACUUUAACACCGACGAGCAGGCACUGGAAGACCACUUCAGCAGUUUCGGACCUAUCUCUGAGGUCUCUGGAUGGUCGUCAGAUCCGUGUGGAUCAUGCAGGCAAGUCUGCUCGGGGAACCAGAGGAGGUGGCUUUGGGGCCCAUGGGCGUGGUCGCAGCUACUCUAGAGGUGGUGGGGACCAGGGCUAUGGGAGUGGCAGGUAUUAUGACAGUCGACCUGGAGGGUAUGGAUAUGGAUAUGGACGUUCCAGAGACUAUAAUGGCAGAAACCAGGGUGGUUAUGACCGCUACUCAGGAGGAAAUUACAGAGACAAUUAUGACAACUGAAAUGAGACAUGCACAUAAUAUAGAUACACAAGGAAUAAUUUCUGAUCCAGGAUCGUCCUUCCAAAAUGGCUGUAUUUAUAAAGGUUUUUGGAGCUGCACUGAAGCAUCUUAUUUUAUAGUAUAUCAACCUUUUGUUUUUAAAUUGACCUGCCAAGGUAGCUGAAGACCUUUUAGACAGUUCCAUCUUUUUUUAAAAUUUUUCUGCCUAUUUAAAGACAAAUUAUGGGACGUUUGUAGAACCUGAGUAUUUUUCUUUUUACCAAUUUUUUAGUUUGAGCUCUUAGGAUUAUUGG